rnacentral:rRNA from 1 species
GAUGAACGCUGGCGGCGUGCUUAACACAUGCAAGUCGAACGAAGGGUUUAUUCAAAGUUCUUCGGGCUAGAGGAUAAAUUCCUUAGUGGCGGACGGGUGAGUAACCCGUGGGUAACCUGCCUCACACAGGGGGAUAACAGUUGGAAACGACUGCUAAUACCGCCUAAGAGCACAGCGCCGCAUGGUGCAGGGGUAAGAGAUUUAUCGGUGUGAGAUGGACCUGCGUCUGAUUAGAUAGUUGGUGGGGUAGAAGCCUACCAAGUCAACGAUCAGUAGCCGACCGGAGAGGGUGAUCCGCCACAUUGGGACUGAGACACGGACCAAGCUCCUACGCGAGGCAGCAGUGGGGAAUAUUGGACGAUGGGGGAAACCCUGAUACAGCAACGCCGCGUGAGUGAAGAAGUAUUUCGGUAUGUAAAGCCCUAUCAGCAGGGAAGAAAAUGACGGUACCUGACUAAGAAGCCCCGGCUAACUACGUG